rfam:Folsomia candida strain VT population Fcan01_Sc005, whole genome shotgun sequence.
AAAAAGGUUUUAUUAAAAACUAUUGCACAUACACCAAACAGAGUUUG